CAACAGGCAUAAAUCUUAACUUAUAAUCAUCGCAGGUUGUGCGUAUCAAGUGUAUCUUUCAAAUUACUUUUACACAAAAUCAACAAACUAUAUUUAGCAAACCAAACGAAUCGAAAAUCAAACAAAAGAACAUUCAACGUCUUACGCAGUAGAUACGAACUGCUGCUUGCUGCCUUCUAAUAGUAAAAAAACGAAAAUUAUAAAAAAACACUCUCACCCCCUGCUGGCAGUAUUCUAAGUUUGUAGCCCAAGGACGAAAUGUUAAAAUGACACUAAGUGCACAGUCAUUGUGGUGAGCAAUAAUAACAGCAAAAACGGAAAGAAGAAUAUAAAUCGAAGACAACAACAGAAAGUGUAACAAAAGAUAAAAAACUGAAAAUGUUUUAAAAAAAAGGUUUCUAUGGAUACUUGAAGAACAAAAAGGAAGAAAAAAAACGUAAUUUUCCAUAAAGGAAAAAAUAAAGAAUAAACCUUAAACCAAACAAACGUUUUUGGCACUUUUGAAACAGUAUGUAUUAUUGUAUGUGAUGUAAGAUUUUGAAUUGAGAUUUUUCAUUUUAAAAACAAACAAAAAUCACACAGAAACCAAAAACAAAAAAAAACAAUAGAAAA